GUUGAAUAUAUGGGUUGCGCAUCGGGAACUUUGAGUGGAGGGUUGGAGGAGCAUAAAAGGGACAUUGAGAGGAGCGCAUCAUCUGCGACAUUGGCGCGGAGAGCCUUACUAACAGGUUUGGCUAUUGGUUGGGACGAAUCUGGAUUACUAUGUGAACAGGAUCCUAAAAAAGGCAGAGUGGCUGGGGCGAUCACGAUAUGCAUGAAUAGGACUUCGAAGGUCAGGCCGAUCAGCGGGAUCGAUCUGGCGACAUUGAGCGCUGCAUGGAGGUCCUGUAUUGGAGAUUCAUAAUAUAUUAAUUACGAGAGGGAGUGCUUUUAAACGUAGUUUUGGACUGC
rnacentral:lncRNA from 1 species